GUAAAGCACUUUCAGUAGGGAGGAAGGUAGUGUAGUUAACACCUGCAUUAUUUGACGUUACCUACAGAAGAAGCACCGGCUAACUCCGUGCCAGCAGCCGCGGUAAUACGGAGGGUGCGAGCGUUAAUCGGAAUUACUGGGCGUAAAGCGCAUGCAGGCGGCCUGUUAAGUCAGAUGUGAAAGCCCGGGGCGUUAACCUCGGAAUUGCAUUUGAAACUGGCAGGCUAGAGUCUUGUAGAGGGGGGUAGGAAUUUCUAGGUGUAGCGGUGAAAUAGCGUAGAGAUCUGAAGGAAUACCAGUGGCGAAGGCGGCCCCCUCGGACAAAGACUGACGCUCAGAUGCGAAAGCGUGGGGAGCAAACAGGAUUAGAUACCCUGGUAG
rnacentral:rRNA from 1 species